rnacentral:rRNA from 1 species
AGCCUGAACGCUGGCGGCGUGGUUAAGACAUGCAAGUCGUACGGUGUAGCAAUACACAGUGGCGAACGGGUGAGUAAUGAAUCGCUAAUGUACCCCGGACUCUGGGAUAGCUGCCCGAAAGGGCAGGUAAUACCAGAUAACGUAAUCCUUCCGCAUGGUUGGAUUCCCAAAGGUCCGCCGGUCUGGGAGCAGGCGAUUUUGUAUCAGCUAGUUGGUGAGGUAACGGCUCACCAAGGCGAUGACGCAUAGCCGGACUGAGAGGUUGGCCGGCCACAUUGGGACUGAGACACUGCCCAGACUCCUACGGGGGGCUGCAGUAACGAAUCUUCCGCAAUGCACGAAAGUGUGACGGAGCGACGCCGCGUGUGGGACGAAGCCCUUCGGGGUGUAAACCACUGUCAGAGGAUAGAAAGUUCUGAUCAUCCUCAGAGGAGGCACGGCUAACUCUGCGCCAGCAGCCGCGGUA